rnacentral:misc_RNA from 1 species
UCCGACUUGACGUCGGCAGUCUCGUUAGAGUGCCCAACUUAAUGCUGGCAACUAACGACAGAGGUUGCGCUCGUUGCGGGACUUAACCCAACACCUCACGACACGAGCUGACGACAGCCAUGCAGCACCUCGACUCUAGUCCCUUGCGGGAAAACCGUGUUUCCACAGUCGUUCACGAGCCGUUCGAGCCCAGGUAAGGUUCUUCGCGUUGCGUCGAAUUGAACCACAUGCUCCACCGCUUGUGCGGGCCCCCGUCAAUUCCUUUGAGUUUCAGCCUUGCGGCCGCACUCCCCAGGCGGGGUACUUAUUGCGUUAGCGACGGCACCGAAAGGGUCGCUCCCCCCGGCGCCUAGUACCCAUCGUUUACGGCGUGGACUAC